rnacentral:rRNA from 1 species
UACGUAGGGGGCAAGCGUUAUCCGGAUUUACUGGGUGUAAAGGGAGCGUAGGCGGCGGAGCAAGUCAGAAGUGAAAGCCCGGGGCUCAACCCCGGGACGGCUUUUGAAACUGCCAUGCUUGAUUUCAGGAGAGGUAAGCGGAAUUCCUAGUGUAGCGGUGAAAUGCGUAGAUAUUAGGAGGAACACCAGUGGCGAAGGCGGCUUACUGGACUGACAAUGACGCUGAGGCUCGAAAGCGUGGGGAGCAAACAGG